rnacentral:rRNA from 1 species
UGAAGUCGGAAUUGCUAGUAAUCGCGGAUCAGCAUGCCGCGGUGAAUACGUUCCCGGGCCUUGUACACACCGCCCGUCACACCAUGAGAGUCGAUAACACCCGAAGCCUGUAGUCUAACAGCAAUGAGGACGCAGUCGAAGGUGGGAUUGAUAAUUAGGGUGAAGUCGUAACAAGGUAGC